AGUGAACGCUGGCGGUAGGCCUAACACAUGCAAGUCGAACGGCAGCACAGUAAGAGCUUGCUCUUACGGGUGGCGAGUGGCGGACGGGUGAGGAAUACAUCGGAAUCUACUUUUUCGUGGGGGAUAACGUAGGGAAACUUACGCUAAUACCGCAUACGACCUACGGGUGAAAGCAGGGGAUCUUCGGACCUUGCGCGAUUGAAUGAGCCGAUGUCGGAUUAGCUAGUUGGCGGGGUAAAGGCCCACCAAGGCGACGAUCCGUAGCUGGUCUGAGAGGAUGGUCAGCGACACUGGAACUGAGACACGGUCCAGACUCCUACGGGAGGCAGCAGUGGGGAAUAUUGGACAAAGGGCGCAAGCCUUAUCCAGCCAUACCGCGUGGGUGAAGAAGGCCUUCGGGUUGUAAAGCCCUUUUGUUGGGAAAGAAAAGCAGCAGGUUAAUACCCCGCUGUUCUGACGGUACCCAAAGAAUAAGCACCGGCUAACUUCGUG
rnacentral:rRNA from 1 species